rnacentral:rRNA from 1 species
GUGGGGAAUCUUGCGCAAUGGGCGAAAGCCUGACGCAGCCAUGCCGCGUGAAUGAUGAAGGUCUUAGGAUUGUAAAAUUCUUUCACCGGGGACGAUAAUGACGGUACCCGGAGAAGAAGCCCCGGCUAACUUCGUGUCAGCAGCCGCGGUAAUACGAAGGGGGCUAGCGUUGCUCGGAAUUACUGGGCGUAAAGGGCGCGUAGGCGGACAGUUUAGUCAGAGGUGAAAGCCCAGGGCUCAACCUUGGAAUUGCCUUUGAUACUGGCUGUCUUGAGUUUGGGAGAGGUGAGUGGAACUCCGAGUGUAGAGGUGAAAUUCGUAGAUAUUCGGAAGAACACCAGUGGCGAAGGCGACUCACUGGCCCAAUACUGACGCUGAGGCGCGAAAGCGUGGGGAGCAAACAGGAUUAGAAACCCGAGUAGUCC